UUAGGAAGACGUGCAGGAGGAAAAAUCAACAGGAGUUGGAUAAGGCCUAUCAGAUAUUUGCAAUGCAAACAGCCGGAGCAUGGUGUGCUUCUGACCCCGCAGGAUUCAGAAAUCUGGUCACAUUAGCUGGCUUGCACCUUAAUGGGCUUGCUUUUAAAAAGCCUGCGUGUAGCAGGUAUCAGGGCUUUCAGUGAAUAGCAGAACUCUGUGGAAUUGGCCAGAAAGAACAAGUGCAUCUACAAGGAUUGCUCAACCUCGCUGAUGGAAUCUCUUGUACUCAAAAUAGCUCUAAAACACUUCCCUGGUGUGGGACAAAAGUGUACCAAGAUGGCCGUAGUUCCUCAGAUGCUUUCUUGAGGGGUCAAGGCCUUUUACAUUUCAUUCUCCUCCUGGGUAGUAUGAAGGAGGUUUGUUGAGGACGUCAGGAAACA